AUUGAACGCUGGCGGCAUGCCUUACACAUGCAAGUCGAACGGCAGCACGGAGCUUGCUCUGGUGGCGAGUGGCGAACGGGUGAGUAAUAUAUCGGAACGUACCCAAGAGUGGGGGAUAACGUAGCGAAAGUUACGCUAAUACCGCAUACGAUCUAAGGAUGAAAGCAGGGGAUCUUCGGACCUUGUGCUCCUGGAGCGGCCGAUAUCUGAUUAGCUAGUUGGUGAGGUAAAGGCUCACCAAGGCAUCGAUCAGUAGCUGGUCUGAGAGGAUGAUCAGCCACACUGGAACUGAGACACGGUCCAGACUCCUACGGGAGGCAGCAGUAGGGAAUAUUGGACAAUGGGGGCAACCCUGAUCCAGCCAUGCCGCGUGAGUGAAGAAGGCCCUCGGGUUGUAAAGCUCUUUUGUCCGGAAGAAAAGCAAUCGGUUAAUACCCGGUUGUUCUGACGGUACCGGAAGAAUAAGCACCGGCUAACUUCGU
rnacentral:rRNA from 1 species